rnacentral:lncRNA from 1 species
UGGGUCGGGACCCCAUUGGGGUUGCAUAUCAGAUAUCCUGUAGAUCAGAGAUUUACGGUGUGAUUCAUAACAGUGGCUAAAUGUCAGCUAUGAAGUAGCAAUGAAAAAUGUUAAGGUUGGGGGUCACCGCACGUGAGGAACUGUAUUAAAGAGUCGCAGCAUUAGGAAGGUUGAGAACCGCUGUUCUACAAAGAGACACAAUUUAUAGAGGCUCCUUAACCCUACCUUGUCCUAUGAGAACCCAGAAGGCAGUGAGCCAGGAUGAAGGAAAUUCUACUGGAUUCCUUGUCCAGGACAGACAUGGAGCGAAGGAGAUGAUCUUUCCGUCGAGAGACUAAAAUAAUAAUGAACAAUAAUGAUAACAGAGGCAGAGAUCUACUGAGAGCUUCCCUUCAGGGCAGGCCCAGCGCCAAACUCAUAAUCCUUACCCAAUCCUGGGC